rnacentral:rRNA from 1 species
CAGUCGCCGCGGGAAUACAGAGGGUGCGAGCGUUAAUCGGAUUUACUGGGCGUAAAGCGUGCGUAGGCGGCUUCUUAAGUCGGAUGUGAAAUCCCUGAGCUUAACUUAGGAAUUGCAUUCGAUACUGGGAAGCUAGAGUAUGGGAGAGGAUGGUAGAAUUCCAGGUGUAGCGGUGAAAUGCGUAGAGAUCUGGAGGAAUACCGAUGGCGAAGGCAGCCAUCUGGCCUAAUACUGACGCUGAGGUACGAAAGCGUGGGGAGCAAACAGGAUUAGAUACCCGCGUAGUCCCUGUCUCUUAUAC